GAAAUGCGAUAAGUAAUGUGAAUUGCAGAAUUCAGUGAAUCAUCGAAUCUUUGAACGCACCUUGCGCUCCUUGGUAUUCCGAGGAGCAUGCCUGUUUGAGUGUCAUGAAAACCCUCAACCCUAGAUUGGUUAAUACCUUUCUUUGGUUUGGAUUUGGACGUUUGCCGAUGAUAAGUCGGCUCGUCUUAAAAGUAAUAGCUGGAUCUGUCUCGCGACAUGGUUUGACUUGGCGUAAUAAGUAUUUCGCUAAGGACAUCUUCGGAUGGCCGCGUUGCAGGACUAAAGACCGCUUUCUAAUCCAUUGAUCUUCGGAUUAAUACUCUUGACAUCUGGCCUCAAAUCAGGUAGGACUACCCGCUGAACUUAAGC
rnacentral:misc_RNA from 1 species